CUACAUGAAGUUUGGAGGUGAGUAGUGAUGAACUCUGCUGAAGCUACAUGAAGUUUGGAGCUGUGUAGUGAUGAACUCUGAAGCUACAUGAAGUUUGGAGGUGUGUAGUGAUGAACUCUGAAGCUACAUGAAGUUUGUAGGUGUGUAGUGAUGAUGAACUCUGAAGCUACAUGAAGUUUGUAGGUGUGUAGUGAUGAUGAACUCUGAAGCUACAUGAAGUUUGGAGGUGUGUAGUGAUGAACUCUGAAGCUACAUGAAGUUUGGAGGUGUGUAGUGAUGAACUCUGAAGCUACAUGAAGUUUGGAGGUGUGUAGUGAUGAUGAACUCUGGAGCUACAUGAAGUUUGGUGGGGUGUAGUGAUGAACUAAUCUGAAGCUACAUGAAGUUUGGAGGUGUGUAGUGAUGAACUCUGAAGCUACAUGAAGUUUGGUGGGGUGUAGUGAUGAACUAAUCUGAAGCUACAUGAAGUUUGGAGGUGUGUAGUGAUGAACUCUGAAGCUACAUGAAGUUUGGAGGUGUGUAGUGAUGAACUCUGAAGCUACAUGAAGUUUGGAGGUGUGUAGUGAUGAACUCUGAAGCUACAUGAAGUUUGGAGGUGUGUAGUGAUGAUGAACUCUGAAGCUACAUGAAGUUUGGAGGUGUGUAGUGAUGAACUCUGAAGCUACAUGAAGUUUGGAGGUGUGUAGUGAUGAACUCUGAAGCUACAUGAAGUUUGGAGGUGUGUAGUGAUGAUGAACUCUGGAGCUACAUGAAGUUUGGAGGUGUGUAGUGAUGAUGAACUCUGAAGCUACAUGAAGUUUGGAGGUGUGUAGUGAUGAACUCUGAAGCUACAUGAAGUUUGGAGGUGUGUAGUGAUGAACUCUGAAGCUACAUGAAGUUUGGAGGUGUGUAGUGAUGAACUCUGAAGC